UCUGCGCGUGGGGAGUGGAGUGGAGUGGAGAGCCAGCCGAGCCGGGGGCGUCGCGGUGGCGGGGGCCACAGCUUUCCGAGCCGGGAGUGGCAAGCAUAUUCCCAGGACUGUAAAAAUGUGAAACCAAACACCAAGGGACGCCCCCUCCAGAUGAAGUUCGUGUCUUCAGUGUCACAGCCUUCCAGUGCCAACGCAGCGACUUCCGAGAGCACGGGAAGACGUGUCAGGAUGUCUACCACUCUGAUGAUCAGGCUGGCAAAGCUGACCCUGCAAACCAUGCCGAGGUCCGGGAUGGGCAUGGUGAUCAGCCAUGGGAUGGACUACAAGGAACUUGCAUGAGGUGGGAGGGAGAACGCAUCUGCAGAAGACAGGAGCUGCAAGUCCUCUCCCUGACAGCAGUCUGCAGACGGAAGUCGUGGCCUGGAUGUUAGGACACGAUGCCACAGUCAUCUGCAGGAGAGCUGGUGCCUGGUGGAAGGGAUCCUGGGGACCCCCUCUAAACCUGAGACUAUCCUUCUACCACUUGUUACCUGGGGUCCCCUUGGCUCAGAGGUACAGAUGGGAACUGGGUCCAAGAAUGGAGUUGCGUGAGGAGAAUGCUUCUGAGUGCUUCUAAAAAAAACAAAACAAAAAAACAAGACUAGAGUCUAUGACCUCAGUUUCUUCAGAAACCCAGAACUGUUCUUGGAAUGAGUUUACAUGCCCCUCCCAGGGUACAUCGGAGAGAUGUGAGCUUAACUCCGAUUAUCCAUCAUGACUGGCUAUUGCUAUUUGUUUAUAGGCCUCUAUAGAAAAACAUGUUUUUGCUACAUGUAGCAUGUCCUUGUGAUUGUACACAGCUUGCACUAAUGAGAAUUUUACUCAGGCGACCCUCAGGAUAUAAACUGUCUGAUACUCUGAAUAAAGUUGGCUUUUAUUGCAUGAGACUCUGCCCCAUUUUUAGGCCCCACUUUCCCGGGUCCAACUACCAACCAGAGUGAUGAAUACCAGCUAUACUCUGAAAACUCCAGCAAAACUAUUGACUCAGACCUGAGUUUCCUAAGAACCCCAGGACUCAGUUACACGUCAGUCUAGGUGAGGGGAUGGACGUAAAGCCGGGCAAGCUCUUAUUGUGCAUUGGAGAGUCAGCGGCCUGUGAUUAACCAGAAUCAAUAUCCUUUUCCUGUAAACAGACCAAAAUGCUAAAGAUAACACAAAGCAGCCUCUGCUACCUCAGGCAAGUCCUGGAAGACCUGACAUGCAGGUUAGCACUUCUGAACAUGUUCAAGUGCCACACACAGGGGACCCACCAUCCAUCCCCACCCUGGCCAAACCCUGGGCAGUCAUUACAUAUGAGGCAGAUGGCACCGGAGCAACUCUGUGAAUAAAACUUUAAUAAUGUACA